UGAAAUACCACCCUGUUCACGUGUACGGCCUAACUCUGAUUCCCGUGAAGCCGGGCAGAGGACAGUGGGUGCUGGGUAGUUUGACUGGGGCGGUCUCCUCCCAAAGAGUAACGGAGGAGCACAAAGGUCAGUUCAGCGCGGAUGGAAACCGCGCGUCGAGUGUAAGAGCACAAGCUGGCUUUACUGCGAGUCCGACAGGACGAGCAGUUACGAAAGUAGGUUCUAGUGAUCCUGCGAUCCCGUGUGGAAGGGUCGUAGCUCAUCGGAUAAAAGGUACUCCGGGGAUAACAGGCUUAUCGCUCCCGAGCGUCCAUAGCGGCGGAGCGGUUUGG
rnacentral:rRNA from 1 species